AGCGAACGCUGGCGGCAGGCCUAACACAUGCAAGUCGAACGAACUCUUCGGAGUUAGUGGCGGACGGGUGAGUAACACGGGGGAACGUGCGUUUUGGUUCGGAAUAACUCAGGGAAACUUGUGCUAAUACCGAAUGUGCCCUUCGGGGGAAAGAUUUAUCGCCAUUAGAGCGGCCUGCGUCUGAUUAGCUAGUUGGGGAGGUAACGGCUCACCAAGGCGACGAUCAGUAGCUGGUCUGAGAGGAUGACCAGCCACACUGGGACUGAGACACGGCCCAGACUCCUACGGGAGGCAGCAGUGGGGAAUCUUGCGCAAUGGGCGAAAGGCUGACGCAGCCAUGCUGCGUGAAUGAUGCAGGUCUUAGGAUUGUAAAAUUCUUUCACCGGGGACGAUAAUGACGGUACCCGGAGAAGAAGCCCCGGCUAACUUCGUG
rnacentral:rRNA from 1 species